UACAGCCAUAUCACAUUGAAACACGGGUCCACGUACAAUCACUGAAGUUAAGCAAAAACAUGCCAGGUCAGUACCUAGAUGGGUGACUAUAUGGGAAUACUAGGUGCUGUAAG